UUUUCAAACUUUAAUGAGUACAGGAUCAACUGAGAUACUUGUCAAAAUGCAGAUUUCUGAGCCCCACCCCAAAUAUGACAAACCGGGUGAUGUCCAGGAAUCUGCAUUUUAAUAGUUUCUCAGGUGGUUCUGAUA
rnacentral:miRNA from 1 species